rnacentral:miRNA from 1 species
AACACUCUGGCGUUCCGUCA